GAAAUUGUUGGGAAUAAUACACUUUGCCUAUACUGACCCAAGGCUCAAGCUCCAGAUGACAGGAUGUUCAGUCUGUUUAACAUUGGUUAACAUGUCAGCUAUUUGAAAGAAUAUACUCUAUCUGUAUCCAAUGCUUAGUGAAUAUACCCCUAGACAAUAAAGAGCUGGAGAACAUCAUGUAACAGGUGUUACAUCCUGUGUGUUUCUCUCUGUUGGCCUUAUUUCCUGUGUUUCUCUCUUUGAUCAUAACUGCAUAGUAAUGUUUAAUUUAGAACUUAGUAGUAAAUAUCUUUAAUACGUAGUGCGCAUGCAUAUUAGUUUGACAUGUGUAGUUAUAGUGAAACUUAGCUUUGAGCAAGGUCCGAACAUGAAGAUACACCUGGAAGCCUGCUAUAGGUUAAGAUAAGAUAGAUUUUGUUAGGAUUGGAUAAUGCUUGUAACGACCACCCCUGUUUCCUGCUGUAUAUAACCAGUUACACGGCUUAUUAAACGCUCAGAAGUCGCUUUGAACCUGGCAUUGUCUUGUCUCACUUAUUAGGGCUCCUCACCAGCUGGUUUGGGGACAAGGAGAAAUACAGAGAGUUCCAAAUUGCUUAGAAGUCCAUGGCAUGACAAAGGAAAAUUCCUGACGCAGGAAAUCUUGACUUACAAACGCCAAGGAGGACUUUUGACUGAACUACAUAGAAUGUGACGGCAGAUAAGAACCAUUCGGCCCAUCUAGUCUGCCCAAUUUUCUAAAUACUUUCAUUAGUCUCUAGCCUUAUCUUAUAGUUAG